CCUACGGGAGGCAGCAGUGAGGAAUAUUGGUCAAUGGGCGCGAGCCUGAACCAGCCAAGUAGCGUGAAGGAUGACUGCCCUACGGGUUGUAAACUUCUUUUAUAAAGGAAUAAAGUGAGGCACGCGUGCCGUUUUGUAUGUACUUUAUGAAUAAGGAUCGGCUAACUCCGUGCCAGCAGCCGCGGUAAUACGGAGGAUCCGAGCGUUAUCCGGAUUUAUGAGGUUUAAAGGGAGCGUAGGUGGGGUGUUAAGUCAGUGGUGAAAGUCUGCGGCUCAACCGUAAAAUUGCAGUUGAUACUGGCAGUCUUGAGUACAGUUGAGGCAGGCGGAAUGCGUGGUGUAGCGGUGAAAUGCUUAGAUAUCACGAAGAACCCCGAUUGCGAAGGCAGCUUACUAAACUGCGACUGACAUUGAUGCUCGAAAGUGUGGGUAUCAAACAGGAUUAGAUACCCCGGUAGUC
rnacentral:rRNA from 1 species